rnacentral:rRNA from 1 species
GGAAACAUGGCGGCGUGCUUCCACAUGCAGUCGAACGGAAAGGCCCGCUUGCGGGUACUCGAGUGGCGAACGGGUGAGUAACACGUGGGUAACCUGCCCCCAUCUCUGGGAUAACCGUUGGAAACGGCGGCUAAUACCGGAUACGACCAGUCCCUGCAUGGGGAUUGGUGGAAAGUUUUUGCGGUUGGGGAGGGGCCCGCGGCCUAUCAGCUUGUUGGUGAGGUGAAAGCUCACCAAGGCUUUGACGGGUAACCGGCCUGAGAGGGCGGUCGGUCACAUUGGGACUGAGAUACGGCCCAGACUCCUACGGGAGGCAGCAGUGGGGAAUUUUGCACAAUGGGCGGAAGCCUGAUGCAGCGACGCCGCGUGAGGGAUGACGGCUUUCGGGUUGUAAACCUCUUUUAUCCACCACGAAGGCCAGGUAUUCGCCUGGUUGACGGUAGUGGUUGAAUAAGCGCCGGCUAACUACGUGCCAGCAGCCGCGGUAAGACGUAGGGCGCGAGCGUUGUCCGGAUUUAUUGGGCGUAAAGGGCUCGUAGGCGGUUGAUUGCGUCCGCCGUGAAAGGCCUCGGCUUAACCGGGGUUUUGCGGUGGAUACGGGUCGACUUGAGGCAAUUAGGGGAGAUCGGAAUUCUACGUGUAGCGGUGAAAUGCGCAGAUAUGUGGAGGAACACCGGUGGCGAAGGCGGAUCUCUGGGAUUGUUCUGACGCUGAGGAGCGAAAGCGUGGGGAGCGAACAGGAUUAGAUACCCUGGUAGUCCAUGCUGUAAACGGUGGGCGCUAGGUGUGGGGUCACGUUGGUUGAUUCUGUGCCGUAGCUAACGCAUUAAGCGCCCCGCCUGGGGAGUACGGCCGCAAGGCUAAAACUCAAAGGAAUUGACGGGGGCCCGCACAAGCGGCGGAGCAUGCGGAUUAAUUCGAUGCAACGCGAAGAACCUUACCUAGGUUUGACAUCACCCGGAAACCUCUAGAGAUAGAGGCCUCUUCGGACUGGGUGACAGGUGGUGCAUGGCUGUCGUCAGCUCGUGUCUUGAGAUGUUGGGUUAAGUCCCGCAACGAGCGCAACCCUUAUCCACCGUUGCCAGCAUUCAAAGGGGGACUCACGGGAGACUGCGAAGUUUAACUAAGGGGAAGGUACGGAAGAGGGCAGGUCAUUCACCUCCUUUCUAAGGAGUCCCGACCCCCGUGCCGGGGGCGUCAACCAUCCGAGCCCGUUGAAGCAACUUUGCUUUAGCCGUUACUGCUCGGUUGUGUAUGGAAUAAAUGUUUUAAACUUGUGUCGACUGCACGUUGGAAAAACCAUCCUUGGCAUCACGUUCCCCUUGCGGGUCGUGGUGCCGCACCCUGUACACACCGCCGACAACACCUCUCUGAGCCUUGUCACCUCGGACCGUCCGCUUGUCGCGGGCCCACUGAUAUGGCAGCUGUGUUGUGUGAGAUUUGUAUAGUGUGCGUGAGCUCUUGUCCAUCAAAGUCGCC